GGGAAAAUUGAAGAACCACAUGAAAAAGUACGAAACUGGACCACUAUUUUAUAGUAUACACAAGAAUCAACUAAAAAUGGAU